AAAAUUAUGUAGUAUACUUUCAGGAAAGUCUGCAUCCACAGUUUGAAAUUAGAUGAAAGGGACCCAGUCCAGAUCCAGGUAUGUUGCAGGUACUGCAGAGGUGUGUGAUUUGGCUCAGCAAUGGGUACAUCAAACAAAUAUUUUGGUACACAAGAAUAACCCGACUCACCCCUGUUGUAAUAAGUAGAUCCACUGUUGAUCCUGUCAUUUGACUGAGACAAGAAAUAAGAGGUUUCAUGCACCAAGAAUCAGCAGCAGUUCCAAGACAUGAUCAAUUAAUUUAUUAUACUGGCAUUAAAUUUAAUAACCAGUUGCAUUUAUGAAGACAUUAACAGCAUGCAACGCUUGAUGUGGAAAGGGAGGUAUUUGCUCCAUGGAGGUGCUGUUGUACUGUAACUGAAGUCAAACCUGUAUUAAGAAGCUAGCUUAGAGUGUGACACAGUCUGUUUUUAAGAAGCCAGCUUAGAGAGUGACACAGUCUGUCUGUAAGA